UGACUGAUGAGGAAUCAAGCAGUGAACGUGU
rnacentral:piRNA from 1 species